rnacentral:pre_miRNA from 1 species
AGCACAAUGGCUGGGUCAUAUGGUAAGAGCUUGUUUAAUUUUGUAAAAUACUGCCAAAUUUUUUCAAAGUGACUAUACCAUUUUGCAUUCCCAUCAGCAAU